rnacentral:tRNA from 1 species
GCGGGUGUAGCUCAGCGGUAGAGCAUCAGCUUCCCAAGCUGAGGGGCGCGGGUUCAAAUCUCGUCACCCGCU